CAGUAGCCACGGUAAUACAGAGGGUGCAAGCGUUAAUCGGAAUUACUGGGCGUAAAGUGCGCGUAGGUGGUUUGUUAAGUUGGAUGUGAAAUCCCCGGGCUCAACCUGGGAACUGCAUCCAAAACUGGCAAGCUAGAGUAUGGUAGAGGGUGGUGGAAUUUCCUGUGUAGCGGUGAAAUGCGUAGAUAUAGGAAGGAACACCAGUGGCGAAGGCGACCACCUGGACUGAUACUGACACUGAGGUGCGAAAGCGUGGGGAGCAAACAGGAUUAGAUACCCCGGUAGUCCCUGUCUCUUAUAC
rnacentral:rRNA from 1 species